rnacentral:lncRNA from 1 species
CGUACUCUUCGAUAAGGCUGGCCAAUUCCUCAUCUGAUUUGAUCGAAACCAGUCUCCAGAUCUUUGUUCAGCAAUUGACACCUCAAUUCCACUGACUGACCGCAAAACUCAGUGAUCUUAAUCAACAACUCCGCGAAUGAAAGGGAGCGGUCCACCACAAGCACUCUGAUGUGCCUGCCCACGUAAUGAAGCUAUCCGCCAGAGGGACGUGGAACAAUAUUUCUGUCGUACCUGCAGAGGUACUUGACGGUGGUCUUGGAGAGCGUGGUGGUGUUCUUAGACGAGUGAUUCUUACUGACCAUGGCUAGUGAGUAGUGAAUAACUGAG